GAAUAAGAGGUUGCUAACUCUGUGCCAGCAGCAGCGGUAAUACAGAGACCUCGAGCGUUAUCCGGAUUAGCUGGGCGUAAAGCGUCUGUAGGGGGUUUGUUAAGUUCCAAGUAAAAUCUUAAGGCUCAACUUUAAGUUCGCUUGGAAAACUAAUAAACUGGAGUCCAGCAGAGGUGCAUGGAACUUGCGGUGUAGGAGUGAAAUCCGUUGAUAUCGCAAGGAACACCAAAGGCGAAGGCAUUGCACUGGGCUGGUACUGACCCUGAGAGACGAAAGCGUGGGGAGCAAAACGGAUUAGAUACCCGUGUAGUCCACGCCGUAAACGAUGGAUACUAGAUGUUCGGGGAUUCGACCCCCUGGGUGUCACAGCUAACGCGUUAAGUAUCCCGCCUGGGAAGUACGGCCGCAAGGCUAAAACUCAAAGGAAUAGACGGGGAUCCGCACAAGCGGUGGAGCGUCUGGUUUAAUUUGAUAGUAAGCAAUGGACCUCACCAAGGUUUGACAUCCUAUGACAACCCUGGAAACAGGGCUUCCUUCGGGCAUAGUGACAGGUGCUGCAUGGUCGUCGUCAGUUCGUGCCGUGAGGUGUUCCGUUAAGUCGGGAAACGAACGAAACCCUCGUCGCAUGUUACAAAUUUCAUGCGAGACUGCCCGGGUCAACCGGGAGGAAGGCGGGGAUGACGUCAGAUCAGCAUGGCCCUUAUACCUUGGGCUACACAGGCGCUACAAUGGCCGGUACAAAGGGUUGCAAAACCGCGAGGUGAAGCUAAUCCCAUAAAGCCGGUCCAAGUUCGGAUUGGAGGCUGCAACUCGCCUCCAUGAAGUUGGAAUCGCUAGUAAUCGUGGAUCAGCCAUUCCACGGUGAAUACGUUCCCGGAUCUUGUACUCACCGCCCGUCACACCAAGAGAGUUGGUAGCUCCUGAAGCG
rnacentral:rRNA from 1 species